rnacentral:lncRNA from 1 species
CCAACUUCAUCAUCGCCAAUCUUCAUCUUCUUUUUUCCAGCCCUAUCAACCUUGCGUGCCUUGGUUGCCUUAGGUGCUGCCUUGGUUGCCUUGGGUGUUUGCCUUGGGUGCUGCCUUAUUGUUGCCUUGGUUGCCGCCUUGGGUGCUGCUGCCUUGGUUGCCGCCUUGGGUGUUGUUGCCUUGGUUGCCUUGGUUACUGCUGCCUUGGGUGUUGCCUUGCUUGCUGCUGCCUUAGUUGCCGCCUUGGGUGUUGCUGCCUUGGUUACUGCUGCCUUGGGUGUUGCCUUGGUUGUUGCUGCCUUGGGUGUUACUCCAUCGGGGAUCCUGAACUUCAUGACUUUCGGCAUGAUCACUCGCAUUUUCGGUUUCUUCGCCAGUGACUUUUUCCCAGAUCCAGAUGCGCCAUCUGUCUUCCCAGCUCCAAUACCAAGUGAUACAAUCUUUGAAGUAGUGUUGCGGAUCCUGGCCGGAGUACAAACCUUCUCCGUUGGUGUAUCAAGGAACACUCCUUCAGCCCUUGCCUGAGCAUACAAUCUCUCGACUUUUUCCAACCCUUGAGCACCCAAUCAGAAACUGUGGGGUCCAUACGCCUGAUCUGAACCCAAAUCUCUAAACGAUGCUGAACAUAACCCAAAAUCUCAAAUAAGAUUUCAUCACCUGCAGCCAAUUUGGUGUUUUUGAUGAAAGUGUUCCAGCCAAGAUGUUUGAAGUAGUAUGCAUGGUCUGAAUCCCACAACAAGACGAUCUUAUGGUCAUGAUCACAACACCACAUAUUCGUAACCAAGCCAGAAUGAAAAUUGUCGUUCAACCUUGCCGGAAUUUUCUGUUAAAGACAUGUUACAUUUAUAAAUAUGUUAUCUCCCUAAUUUCGUCAAUCAUGGUAUUACAUGUAUUCAAAAAAAUUCAGAAUAUAUAUAAGAUUCGAAAAAAAAAAGAUUAGACAUACCAUAAUCUUUGAAUUGGUGACGUUCGCUUUCGUCACUGUCUUGGACCACCAGAUAUUACACUCUCCGUCAAUUGGCUGAAGUCCUUUCGCUUUGGCCAUCUAAUAUGAACAAAAAAAACAAAAAACAAAUAUACAGUAAUAAUAAUAAACAAUACAUAGGCUAGAAAGGUAAUAUACAAAAUAAUACAAAAUGGGUGAAAAUAUUUGAAUUGAACAUGUCAAAUUUAAACAUUGCCAAAAUAUUAUUUUUAAAUAAGCAUAAUAAUAUCGAAACACAAAGUAGCAGAAUAAUUAAACAUGUGACAGUGGCACAUCUAUGGACAAUGACCCAAAUUUGAUAAUAGACAUCGUCGGGUGCAUGUUGAAAAUUGUCCUCGCCAUUUCAUAAUACGGGAUGACUUUGUCUUUGUACUUCUUAUACUGCAACAUUUCAGGUGGGAGCGACUCCCAAGCGUCAUUGGUGGCAAUGAGUUUGCAAGUUGUGGGGCAAAAUACAAACGUUUCAUUCUCGCACAAGAGUUAUAUUUGUCUUGCAACCCUCCUAGCCUUAUGCACCCGAGUUGCAACACAAGCAUAAGUGAAUUCACGCCCCAAUACAAUCUUUAAUUCACUAGCAACAUCGUGCACUACGCUUUUCGUCACAGUACGUGUCGGUUCGGCCAUUAUUUUGGUCCACAACAAGUCAUCCAUUGAUGUUGUCCAUCGGACACGUCGUCUACAAAAACCCCUUCCACCUUCCAUUAUCAAAUUCUGUGUGAACACAUUCCAAUAGAACAAGUAUAUAAGUGCGGCGAAACAUUAAUGAAAAGGUUGUCAUUGUUCGAGUUUUAUACGAAAAAUCCCCAUCACGUAAUAUUACAUAUUAAUAAGGUACACAAGUUUUUUGAAAUUUUUACAAAAUUUCAUAUUAAACAUCAUGAGUCUGACUCGACUCAUUAUCAAAGUAGUUAUCGUUAUCACAAAACCUAAAACAUUCGUUAGGACAUGGUGUAUUCGAGCAAUGCAUACACGUCUCGAAUUCUUGUGCUUUAUAGUGAAACCAUGCGUAAGAGCAAUCUUCGCGACAGGGAUGUUGAAGGCAUCGAGCACAUAUCAUCCCCAUGUCAUUCGUCGGAGGCGAUCGAAGUAUUAGAAACAAGUACUCGAUUGAUGGACAUAGUUCAACAGAGCACUUCACAAGACUUAUCCACUUUUCAUCAAGCCUAUUCCCACUUCCAGUGUAGAUUUGCAUCACACCGAUACAACCUGGUUGUUCACAUCGCAUGUAUGGUUCUAAGAUUGGCAAACAAGAAUCGAAUUCAAAGUCUUUAUGUUGGCCGUAUUUGUAUACCUUCAACGCUGCGCGCUUCCGUUCCAAUUCACAAUCAAAAAAAUUUCGACGCUCCAGAAGCAACUCAACAAUACCGAUAAAAUGCUCGGUAGUCUCCCAAAUUUCAGACAUUCUAUUGGCUAGGUGUGACAAACCUCUACCUAUACUAACUCCCUCCAUUGCAUGGAAUCGGUCGGAAACAACACCCCAAAACUCUUCAUCGGUACCAUUUACUGGUGGUGAGCUGCGGAAUAACCCCCAAGCAACACAUAAAUUUUCAUCGUCUUUUGGUGUCCACGCCAUUCCUUUUUAUAAAAUAACACAUGAAGAAUGUAAGGACUCCACAAAAUUAAAUUGUAAACAAAAUAGAUAUAUAUGGCAUUCAAUAAAGUUGUCAUUAAACAAAUUUGCUUAUAAAGCAGUCAUUACAUACAUUACAGAUAGCCGUCACUCAUGGACGCAGACUAUACACAAUCACUAUAGUAGACAUUGGCAAGUAGGUUGGCAUACACCUAUCCUUAAUGUGGCCGUAACGACCUGGAAUUUCACUAUUGACCUCGUCCCACUCUUCAUUGGUUCCGCUAACUUUCAACGUGACAUUGUCAAAAUAAAAACCAUAGUCUUCGCACAACUCUUGGACUAACUUAAAUUCUCUCUUGAAAUACGAGAUUCGACAUCGAAUCUCGUCAAAACUAACUUCGAUGUCAAAACCAUGUUUCACACUAUUGGAAAAAUGCUCAUAAGCCGACCGGAGUCGGACCAUCACAGGUACACUGCCUGUUGCAUGUAACAGCAGCACAUCACACAGUAACUUAUCCAUAUCUCCAGUCCAAUGCACAUUGCGCUGCCUAUAUAGACUGGCAAUGUUUCUUCCAAAAUUAACAGGAUACAUUCCUAUCCAAUUAAGCAGAGUAUUUCCAUCACCAACAUAAAAUAAAAUUUUAAAAAAUGAGAAAUCCAAACAAACAACUCCAUAACAUAAGUUUUUCGGUGUUAGAAAAACACCCCAAACAUGGUUUCAAUGUACUGUCUCAAGGUGUCGUAUGCACCAUUCAAACUAACUUAACACAAUAUUGUCAACAUAUUUCAACAACAUAUGCAGAACCAAUCCAAAUUCAGACACAACAAGGACAUACAAGGACUAAGCCUUACGGGCAGCAAUUGCCAGCUUCUUAAGCAACCAAGGACGCUGCAGUUUUACAUUCAACCCCAUGAACACAGACGCUAGCGCUUUGUUAGCAUCGAGUAAGUCUAUUGCCUCCAAAAGCGUAUCUUCGUCAUCACCUAGGACGUUCGACAAUGCUUCAGUAAGAUCAUCGAUCUUUGGGCCAGAAAAAUGAUUUGCUAGAGAUUUCACAGCGUCCAUCAUCCCUUUGUUAUAUUCUGCGUCACUUGGAUCAAUGCAGCCUAGGCGCGACUUCUUACGCUUGUUCUGCAAAGGUACAAUGGGAGGUGGUAUAGGCAGCCUACGAGGUCCUUCCGAACUAGAGCUUUCAUUAGUACUCAGCCCAGAAUUUCCGGUAUGCGGAGCUUGUGGAGUUUUACUUGUGUCGGCUCCCUCCAUUACCACAAAAUCUUCUACUUCAUUAGGUCCUGUCCCUAAUGAAUACACAUUUACGAGACUUUAGGGAUAAUGGUUGGACGCAAACGUCUAACAAUAUUUAACGUACAACAAAGGUUACCAUUUGGUGAAUCAACCACGAAGAGUUGUUCUUCUUGGUCUCCAGCGUCACCUCCAUGACCAUUUGCAGUCUCAUUACCGAUGAUGAUAUACAGCUGGUCAUAAUAUGGAAAUUCUUUCCCACGUAAAGGUACAGCUUCGGGAUGGGCCUACAUUAACACAUAUAUGUACAUAUGUGUAUUAGUAGUGGGUAUAGACAUGGGGCAAAUUUUAAUUGAAUGGAGUUCAAACACUAGAAGAAUUACCAGAAAAUAUUUAUUCCAAGCGUCUUCGUCUCCAGAUAUAGUCCUGGUUCCACUAUCGAAAGUGAAACCAAAACCACUAGCAUCAAUGAGCGCCUUCACUGUGAGGUAUGAAGCCCUCAAAGUCUUCAUGGUCGAUCUAACAUUCUCAGGCCCAACUAGCAUCCCUAAUGCCUUGUUCACAGCCACAGCGGCUGCCUCGAGGGAUUCAGUUUUUAUCCCAUUGUCGACACGCUUAUCUCGAAGCGCAACCUCUUCACACAAGGCAUCGAGCAUGACCUCAAUCAUUUGCUUUGUCCACCUAAUCUGGGUUUUACCAGUUUGGCGAGAACUACCCUGGUUAUGGGGUGGAAAGUACGGCUGUUCCUGAGGUAGCGGUUGAGUGGAUUGAGAAGGUUGUGGAGGUGUAGUCUGUUUGGGUUUCUUAGUCCUCCUUGGUGGUUUGAAGUUAAUGGUUGACAUGCCUAACAAUAUAUCCAUUUAUGAAAACAACAAAUACUUCAAAUAGUCAUACAAAUACAAAGACAAACCAAAUAUCCAAAUACAUAAAUUGUUACAAAUCGUACAUAACCAUGAAAACAAAACAAAGAUGGUUCUCAUUCUGGUUCGCCAUUGUGGUAGUCUAAAUAAUCGGCCCACAUUUCAUUACGCAAAUUGUCACGCCAAUUUGUCCAAGCUUGGUACGGACCAAUAAGAAUCCCACCCCCACCAUUUCCAUGAUCGACUUCAGGUACUACCUCUGGUUGGUCGUCCUCCCUCGGUACCCACGGCUGCCAAACAUCCGUGGGAUCGAUGUCUUUCAGAAAAUUGUGCAACGCACAACAAGCCAAGAUAAUCUUGGUAUGCGUUCUCACAUCAUGGAAAGGAGCAUGCCUAAGGUACGCGAAUCUCUUUUUCAGCACACCAAUAAUCCUCUCAACCACGCCACGCAUUGACGAAUGUCUCCAAUUAUACAACUCAUCAGCAUUUUGGGGAGAGUUGGUUCCUCGCUCUCUAAGAUGGUACCGGACGCUGCGGUAAGGGGUUAAAAACCCCGGACUCAAUGCAAAACCUGCAUCGGCAAGGUAGUACUUACCGUCCGAUAUAGUUAACCUCUUACCCUGACGAGUAACUGCGUUCCGCAGCAAUCGACCAUCGUGGGCCGAUCCCUCCCACCCCGCAAGCACGUAAGUAAACCUCAUGUCAAAAGUGCAAGCUACAAGGACAUUUUAAAAAACUCGUGGUAGUACACAGGGUUGUCAUGGUUGGUCAGUGGUGAGUUGGCUUCGGUAGCAUUGUUGACAACUUCCCUAAACAAUUUUAUCAGCGCGUCCAAGACAACAUGGAAGAAUCGACUCACGGUUUCACCCGAUCGUUGGAACUCGAAUCGUGUUCUCCGAUUGCGGUUAUCAUGUCCCACUAUCAAUAAGAACAUGGCAACUUGCUCUUCCACAGUCACGUAACGGGAGUUUGCUAGACCUAAGCGGCGUAAGCGACAACAUAGUUGAUGGAAUGCAUUACGCCUCAUCCUUAGGUUAUCAUGGCAGCUAGUGUCAUUGUCUAUAUAGAAUCUUGAUAGCCUAGAUAGACGUUCGUGAUCUUGGUACGUGUAUGGCUCCCUAGGUAUACUAGGUGAUCUAAUAUACCUCCUAGACCGUCGUCGAUGUUGCAUCACAGAAUGGACAGCUACAAUUAUCACAAUUGCAGCCAACAACCUACGUUCUUUCUCCUCAGUUGGCAUUCUACAAAACCCCCAACCCUUUAAAACGCAGUAUACAUAUAUAGUUCGUAUUAAUAUAAACAACCACCAACUAUCAGAAGUUCCAUGAUUAAAAAACGUUCCUCGUAUUAAUAUAAAAUAGUUCGUACAUUUUAUGAUUACAAACGACAACCACCAACUAUCAGAAAUAAUACGUACAUUUUCUUGAUUAAAAAUGUUUACAACGACCCAAGUUACAACACAAACAACAACUUCAAUAGAAUGGCGAUCAACAUAACCAAGAGAACAACCACUAGCUUCCUAACCAACCACCAACUAUCGGACAUAGUUGGAAGCAUAUCAGGGAGGGUAGCAGGGAUCGUAGCUGGAAAGGUGGUCGCCGGCUGCAAAUAGGGUUGCACAGGUUGUUGGAUUAUCUGCGCCGCACGACCAGAUAAGUAAUGGUCAUACAAAAAAUGGGCUUGGGCAAGAGAUUGACAGCCCUGAUAAUCAUUGUUUGGAAAACCGUCUACUUGAGCCUUGGCUUCCGACCAGGUUAGGUAUAUACCCGGACGUAUCCCACGACGCACAAAAUAACAAGCAUACUUAACCAUAAUGGUAUCUGAAACAAUAUAUCUAUUGAUAGUGAAUUUUUUUAUUAACCAGCUUGGGUAAUGAACUAACCUAACCUUAUGUUAUCUAUAGUUCUAUACUUAUACAGUGCAGCAUGGAUAAAUACAGUGCAACAUGUACACGCGCAAUAUGUAUAGUUCUAUUACAUUUCUAAAAUACAAUAUGUCGUUCUAAACUAUACAAUACAACAACAUAUAUAACAAGUACACCUAAGUAUGAUAAACACAAAAAUCGAGGCAAUCAUAAUACUUUCUAGAAGAAAUACAUGUAACUCUAAACAUGCUAUUAUCAAUUACACGCAACAACAUAUAUGACAUGUCGUAUAGAUAAUUCAUGGUGUAACAUGCUAUUAUUAAUUACACGCAACAAAGAUAACACAUGUAACCUGGAGUGGUCGAAGAUAAUUCGUGAAUGAGUUCGUGCUUUACUAAAGAGGGUAACUUUACAUGCAUUAACACUUAACAUGACAACACACUCAGUUCAUAUGAACAUUUAUUAGAUGGAAAAAAUACCUGGUUCAAUUCAGUGCACAACAAAGAAAUAAAGCAGAGAGUGACGACCGAAACGAAGAUGCGAGACUUCGAGACUGCAACUUGGAAAAGAAAAAUAAUUAGAUUGUUCUAAUCAUUUUGAUUAAAGAUUAAAAAUAAUAUGUACGUAGAAAUGAAUACCAGGAAUUUUAAGAAGAUCGAAAACCGAGACGCAAAACUUCGAGACUGCAACUUGAAAAACAAAAUGGAUUAGAUUGUGUUAACCAUUACAAUUAAAGAUUAGAAAAUAUGUAGAAAUGAAUUACCCAGAAUUUUGAAGAAAUCUCCAAACUGAACUGCUGAAAAUAUUGAAUAAAACAAUAUUAUAAGUAAUUAUAAAAAUAGAUAAUAUAAAAAGUUGUAACCAGAUAAUAUAAACAGAUAAGUGUUAAAAUAAUAUCGAACUUAUUAAUUUGGAGACUAAAAAUUCCUUAUAGAAUAAAUGUCAUUACAGCAUUAAACAAGCCACAGAUAUCUAUUUACGAUAUUAGAAGCAUUAAAAAAGCCACAUAUAAUUGUAAACAAUGAUAAAAGCAUUAUAGGGAACUGUGACUGAAUUUUUAUGAAUGGUUGUGUGCAAUGCCUUUCUCGUUUUGAUUUGAACAGAAUUUAGAAUUUCUAUCUUCGUGUCCUCCUCAAGACAGUUAUCUUUACAUGGUAUCACAGUGAAUGUAACAACUUUGUACCAACUUCACCCAACGAAAAUCAAAUAGACAUACAAGUAAUACAACCAACAUACAUGCUAACUAUAAAAGGGAGAUGAAAACCAACACGAAGGUACUUGCAAUGCCAUGAACCCUUUUGUUACAUACAUGCUAACUAUAAAAGGGAGAAUGAAAACCAACUUCUAUGCGAUGAUAUCAUUUGGCAUUUUUCGUCUAUCAUACCAUGCAUAAACUACUUAUAACAAUUAAGCAAUACUUGCUGCAUUAAGGUAUACAUUGCAAGAGCUGAAAUAUAAAUCACAAAAGCAGAGAAUCAGAUAGUCAUAAACUAUCAAUGCCAAGAAAAUGCACUCUACUAAUUGCAUAAACACCACCUAAUAAAGAAUACACGCAAUUUCAAGGGUUUGAAAGAUCCAAACAAAAGUUCAAUUCUUUAAUAAAAUUCUCGAUUAUAUAUUAAAAUAAAACGUUGCGAUGUUGUGUUGGGACCCAAACUUCUUCACUGAUCCACACAUUGGAUGCUUCUACUAUAUUUGUCAGAUUUUAAGUAAAUUACUCCAACCAUUUAGUAGUCCACUAAUGCAAGAAAAAGUGAAGAUAAACACCAAGAUGCAUGAAAGCUUGAUUCCAAAAGGAUGUGCAGUGCUCAGCAGUCACAUGUGUACACAUCAAUAACAAAUAAGUUUGUAACCAAACCAGACUCAAUUAAAAAGGUAUUAAUCAGGGACCAAAUCACAUAAACAUAAUUAAGACUAAUUUCGAAAAACCCCUAAAUUUUUAGGGUUAGAAUUUUCAAAAUUUGGAAUUAUUAUCAUCACUCAAGCAGAAAAUUUACCUAAUUUCGAAAAAAACCCAAAUUUUAGGGUUAGGGUUUUCAAAAAUUAGAAUUGUAUCAUUUAUCAAUCAGAGAAUUACCUAAUUUCGGAAAACCCCCAAAUUCUAGGGUUAGGGUUUUCAAAAAUUGGAAUUGUAUCAUUUAUCAAUAAAAAAACUUACCUAAUUUCGAAAAACCCCCAAAUUUUAGGGUUAGGGUUUUAAAAAUUUCGAUUGUAUCAUCAAUCAAACUCAAUUUACCCCAAUUUAGAAAAACCCCCAAAUUUUAGGGUUUAGAGUUUUCAAAAAUUCGAAUUGUAUCAUCAAUCAAACACAAUUUACCUAAUUUUGAAAAACCCCAAAAUUUUUAGGGUUAGGGUUUUAAAAAUUUCGAUUGUGUCAUCAAUCAAACUCAAUUUACCCCAAUUUAAAAAAACCCCCAAAUUUUAGGGUUUAGAGUUUUCAAAAAUUCGAAUUGUAUCAUCAAUCAAACACAAUUUACCUAAUUUUGAAAAAAACCCAAAUUUUUAGGGUUAGGGUUUUCAAAAAUUGGAAUUGAAGAACCCAAUUUCGAAAAACCCCCAAACUUAUACAAAUGAACGAAUAAAGUUUAACGUUUGUUGUUAAACCGAAACCAAAAAAGAAGAAAAGAAGAAAAUCGAAAGAGAAAUUUUUUUUUGCAUUUCUGUCGAAGAAAACUCACCGUUGAAAUGAAUGAAAACGACGAGAGAAUGUGGAGGUCGAUGACGAUGACAGAAGGUGGAGGUCGAUCGAUGGUGAAGACGACGAGUGAUGGUGGAUUUGACGAGAGAUAAUCAAUCGGUGUUCAAGAUAGUUUUGGCCGCCAUUGUUGUUGUCGAGAGAGAGAAAGAUUAGGUUUGUUGUUUUAUUUUUUGGUUUUUAUACUUGGCAAAUGGAAGAAUUUGCCUGAGGCAAAGAAAUAUUUUCCUAAGGGGGGGUCAGGAAUUAUUUUCCUGCUUUUUUCAGGCAAAUGGGAGC